UUCAUUUAAUAACGUGUUUCUAACAUAAUAAUUUGUCGCUUCUAGCAAAUCAAGAAACAGUGUAAUACAAAAUGUGCAGUAACCUAUUUCGGAGACGUAAAUCAGUCAGAUUGUCAAGGGUGGAACGACGUUUUUUUUAACAAAGCAUACAGGCGUCUUUUGUAUAAAAAUCAAUUUUUACAUUUUCGAAAUGUUGUUGUAGUGGCUCAAUAUGACAUGGACUUAUAUGUGCAUUGCUGUCUCCCAGUGAGAGGUUACAACAGUUUAACAGUUAGUGAAAGUUAACCCACUCGUCAACUGAAAUCUGGAAUUCUCACUAAAUCUUCAAAUCUGAGUCUCUGCAAAAUAACCUGAAGGUCCGCUUGGUACCUCUCCAAAUGGUUCGGCAAGUAGUUGACCUAGACACUCAACGAUUGGAAGCGCAAGAAAACGACACGUCGUUGCCUUGUAUGUAUGUAGAAUAUGUAUACACUCGAUAGUCCCUGGAGAUACAAUAAUCAUUGUAAAUCACAAGUGUUCUACUUGGCAGAGGUGUUUGCAACUUUGAGGUGGACGAUCUUCGAAAUCCUUAUUUCUAUUAUUUUAAAUUUUCCAUAUGUUUAUCGAUAUGCAAUAUUCUCUUAUAUGUUAGUCCGAUAACAACAAUACACACCACAAUAUAAACCAUUCUUCAUUAUACCAUAUAUAAAAAGAGUAAUAAAUAAAUAUACGAGCAAUA